GGGAAGGUAGCUCAGUGGUAGAGUGCAUGCCUUGCAAGCAUGAGGCCCUCGGUUCGAUUCCUCAGCACCA
rnacentral:tRNA from 1 species